rnacentral:rRNA from 1 species
UACGGGAGGCAGCAGUGGGGAAUAUUGCACAAUGGGCGCAAGCCUGAUGCAGCCAUGCCGCGUGUAUGAAAAAGGCCUUCGGGUUGUAAAGUACUUUCAGUCGUGAGGAAGGUGUUAAGGUUAAUAACCUUAGCAAUUGACGUUAGCGACAGAAGAAGCACCGGCUAACUCCGUGCCAGCAGCCGCGGUAAUACGGAGGGUGCGAGCGUUAAUCGGAAUUACUGGGCGUAAAGGGCACGCAGGCGGUUAAUUAAGUUGGAUGUGAAAUCCCCGGGCUUAACCUGGGAAUGGCAUUCAAGACUGGUUAGCUAGAGUCUUGUAGAGGGGGUAGAAUUCCAUGUGUAGCGGUGAAAUGCGUAGAGAUGUGGAGGAAUCCGGUGGCGAAGGCGGCCCCUGGACAAAGACUGACGCUCAUGUGCGAAAGCGUGGGGAGCAAACGAGGGAUUAGAUACC